rnacentral:rRNA from 1 species
UACGUAGGGGGCUAGCGUUGUCCGGAAUCAUUGGGCGUAAAGAGCGUGUAGGCGGCCCGGUAAGUCCGCUGUAAAAGUCAAAGGCUCAACCUUUGAAUGUCAGUGGAUACUGCCGGGCUAGAGUCCGGAAGAGGAGAGUGGAAUUCCCGGUGUAGCGGUGAAAUGCGCAGAUAUCGGGAAGAACACCCGUGGCGAAGGCGGCUCUCUGGGACGGUACUGACGCUGAGACGCGAAAGCGUGGGGAGCGAACAGG